GAUGAAGAACGCAGCGAAAUGCGAUACGUAAUGUGAAUUGCAGAAUUCAGUGAAUCAUCGAAUCUUUGAACGCAUAUUGCGCUCUCUGGUAUUCCGGAGAGCAUGCUUGUUUGAGUAUCAGUAAACACCUCAACUUCCAUAUCUUUUUUGAAAUGGGAGUUGGACUUGAGUGAUCCCAACGCUUUUCCUCACCGAAAAGUGGCGGGUUACUUGAAAUGCAGGUGCAGCUGGACUUUUCUCUGAGCUAUAAGCAUAUCUAUUUAGUCUGCCUAAAAAACAGAUUAUUACCUUUGCUGCAGCUAACAUAAAGGAGAUUAGUUCUUGUGCUGACUGAUGCAGGAUUCACAAAGAGAGGCUUCGGCCGACUUUGUAAACUCGAUCUCAAAUCAAGUAAGACUACCCGCUGAACUUAAGCAUAUCAAUAAGCGGAGGA
rnacentral:misc_RNA from 1 species